rnacentral:rRNA from 1 species
CGAAACCAAAGCUGGCGACCGGCGCACGGGUGAGUAACACGUAUCCAACCUGCCUCAUACUCGGGGAUAGCCUUUCGAAAGAAAGAUUAAUAUCCGAUAGCAUAUAUUUCCCGCAUGGGUUUUAUAUUAAAGAAAUUCGGUAUGAGAUGGGGAUGCGUUCCAUUAGUUUGUUGGGGGGUAACGCCCACCAAGACUACGAUGGAUAGGGGUUCUGAGAGGAAGGUCCCCCACAUUGGAACUGAGACACGGUCCAA